CAGCAGCCGCGGUAACACCGAGGGUGCGAGCGUUAAUCGGAUUUACUGGGCGUAAAGCGUGCGUAGGCGGCUUCUUAAGUCGGAUGUGAAAUCCCUGAGCUUAACUUAGGAAUUGCAUUCGAUACUGGGAAGCUAGAGUAUGGGAGAGGAUGGUAGAAUUCCAGGUGUAGCGGUGAAAUGCGUAGAGAUCUGGAGGAAUACCGAUGGCGAAGGCAGCCAUCUGGCCUAAUACUGACGCUGAGGUACGAAAGCAUGGGGAGCAAACAGGAUUAGAUACCCCGGUAGUCCCUGUCUCUUAUAC
rnacentral:rRNA from 1 species